rnacentral:lncRNA from 1 species
CAUGGGGCAGCUGGAUGGCUCAGUGGAUUGAUUGCCAGGCUUAGAGACAGGAGGUCCUAGGUUUAAAUAUGAUUUCAGACACUUCCUAGCUGUGUGACCCUGGGCAAGUCACUUAACCCCCAUUGCCUAGUCUUUACUAUUCUUCUGCCUUAGAACCAAUGCAUAUUGAUUCUAAGAUGGAAGAUAAGAGUUUAAAAAAACAAACAAACUUGGCUUUGAUAGUGACCCUGGGCAAGUCACCUAACUUCUCUGAGCCCCGUACUGAUGGGGCCCAUCUCACAGGAAUGUUGUGAGAUAUUGUAUAUAAAGUGUUAUAGGGAUCAGGUAAAUAGCACAGUGGAUAGAAUGCCAGUCCUGGAUUUGGAAGGAUCUGGGUUAAAAUUUGGCCUCAGAUACUUCUUAAUUUUAUGAUUCUGGGCAAGUAACUUAGCCCUGGUUUCCUAACCCUCAUCAUUCUUUUGCCUUGGAACUGAUUCUAAGAGAGAUGGCAAGCGUUUUUUUAAAAAGCAUUAUAUAAACAUCAGAAUUCUCUUCUGUGCCCAUUUUAGUAUAGAAAGUUCCCCAAUUCUAGGUUUUUGUUUCUAUAUAGUUUCAUCUGUGAUUUCACUGACAUAGAGAACUUCCAGUGAGGGAACUCCCUCUAUCAAUACAGAUCAGCAUCUGCUUGAACAAUUGAUCACUUGUAGCCAUAGAAAUGGGAUAUAGAAAGUAGAAGUGACUUUUCCACAAUGGCACAUUCAGUGUGUAGCAGAUGUGAAACUGGAACCCAGGUCUUUCUGACUUUGAGGACAGCUAUGUAUUGUAAAAAUAAUAGAGAAUGCAUUGAUUAUGUAUAUAAACUGAUUAGAUACUCUGCUUGCUGUGUUUACAAAGUAUCUUUAGUUUAUAAAAGUGAAAUGAAGCUUAUAAGUGAACUUCUCUUCAGGGCUAGGUGCAAGGACGCUAAGGAGACUCUUGUUAUAUAAAAAUAAACUAUCUAUUGAGAAUAUAAAGAUUUAAAAA